AGGAGUCUCAGAGAAAGCUGCUAACUAUCUCAUAGCAAUUACAUUGUUAGACCCC
rnacentral:tRNA from 1 species